UCCGAGUGGCCCGAUCGUUAAUCGGAAUCACUGGGCUUAAAGGGUGCGCAGGCGGCGCGGCAGGCAGCUCGUGAAAUCCCCCGGCUCAACCGGGGAACGGCGGGGUGAACCGCCGGGCUUGAGGCAGGUAGGGGCUGACGGAACCAUGAGUGGAGCGGUGAAAUGCGUAGAUAUUCAUGGGAACGCCGAUGGGGAAGCCGGUCAGCUGGGCCUGUCCUGACGCUCAGGCACGAAAGCGUGGGGAGUAAACAGG
rnacentral:rRNA from 1 species